CCUAGCUCCCUCAACCUUUCUUCAUAAGACAUGUCCUCUGGUCCAGGGAGCAUUCUUUUUCCUGUCCAGGAGCAGCGGGAGAUAGAGCAGAGGUGAUGUUGGAGACCAGGAGGUUGCCGGGAAGGUUAACCACAUAUCUGACAGGAAGAUCACCAACAUACUUCUCAAUUCCCCAAAAAAUCAUCAAUAUUUCAUAAAUGAACAUUACGGUCUGCUCAAGCUUAUACAAACUAGAUUCAUCGCAGAAAUACCUCAGAGCAUGUCUGAACAAAGAACACAGGCUACAAGCAAAUGAAGGAGCAGCACUCUGAAAGCUAGUGCUUCCAAAUAAACCUGCUGGACUAUAAUCUGAGGACGGCCACGCCAUUCUGGGAACAAGACUGAUGAACCUUCAGUGCACACCCUCUCUGGCAAUAAUGCCUGUCCGAAGGUAACCAAAACAGCACACAGUACUUCAGCUGCAGUGUAACCAAAGAUUCUGCGCUAUGGAAGCAAGACUUCACCGCACCUGUAUUUCAGUCCUUUUGUAGUAAAGACUAAUA